UCCAGCAUAGUGUAACGGUCAACAUACCUCCCUUUCAGGAAGGAGUUCGGGGUUCGAGUCCCCGUGCCGGAA